rnacentral:rRNA from 1 species
AGCGAACGUUAGCGGCGGGCCUAACACAUGCAAGUCGAACGCGAAAGGUCUUCGGACUGAGUAGAGUGGCGCACGGGUGAGUAACACGUAGGUAAUCUACCCUUUGGCGGGGGAUAACGUUCCGAAAGGAGCGCUAAUACCGCAUAAGACCACGGAGUCUCCGGACGCUGUGGGAAAAGGUGGCCUCUUCUUGAAAGCUACCACCGAAGGAUGAGCCUGCGUCCCAUCAGCUAGUUGGUAAGGUAAUGGCUUACCAAGGCGAAGACGGGUAGCUGGUUUGAGAGAAUGAUCAGCCACACUGGCACUGGAACACGGGCCAGACUCCUACGGGAGGCAGCAGUGAAGAAUAUUGGGCAAUGGGCGAAAGCCUGACCCAGCCACGCCGCGUGAGUGAUGAAGGCCCUCGGGUCGUAAAGCUCUUUCGGACGGAAAGAAAUCGGCGGGGUGAAUAAUCCUGCUGGAUGACGGUACCGUAAGAAGAAGCACCGGCUAACUACGUGCCAGCAGCCG